rnacentral:rRNA from 1 species
CAGCUCUUGACAUACCAAUCGCGGAUAGUGGAGACACUUUCCUUCAGUUCGGCUGGAUUGGAUACAGGUGCUGCAUGGCUGUCGUCGGCUCGUGUCGUGAGAUGUUGGGUUAAGUCCCGCAACGAGCGCAACCCCUAUCCCUAGUUGCCAUCAGGUUAAGCUGGGCACUCUAUGGAAACUGCCGGUGACAAGCCGGAGGAAGGUGGGGAUGACGUCAAGUCCUCAUGGCCCUUACGGGCUGGGCUACACACGUGCUACAAUGGCGAUGACAGAGGGACGCAAGUCAGCGAUGGCGAGCUAAUCUCAAAAAGUCGUCUCAGUUCGGAUUGUUCUCUGCAACUCGAGAGCAUGAAGUCGGAAUCGCUAGUAAUCGCGUAUCAGCAUGACGCGG